AAGACCUUGCGCUUUUGGAGCGGCCGAUGCCUGAUUAGCUUGUUGGUAAGGUAAAAGCUUACCAAGGCUUCGAUCAGUAGCUGGUCUGAGAGGACGACCAGCCACACUGGGACUGAGACACGGCCCAGACUCCUACGGGAGGCAGCAGUGGGGAAUUUUGGACAAUGGGGGCAACCCUGAUCCAGCCAUGCCGCGUGAGUGAAGAAGGCCUUCGGGUUGUAAAGCUCUUUCAGCCGGAACGAUACGGUUACGGUUAAUACCCGUGACUACUGACGGUACCGGAAGAGGAAGCACCGGCUAACUACGUGCCAGCAGCCGCGGUAAUACGUAGGGUGCGAGCGUUAAUCGGAAUUACUGGGCGUAAAGCGUGCGCAGGUGGUUUUGUAAGUCAGAUGUGAAAGCCCCGGGCUCAACCUGGGAACU
rnacentral:rRNA from 1 species